rnacentral:rRNA from 1 species
AUUGAACGCUGGCGGCAUGCUUUACACAUGCAAGUCGAACGGUAACAGCACUUCGGUGGCUGACGAGUGGCGAACGGGUGAGUAAUACAUCGGAACGUGCCUAGUAGUGGGGGAUAACUACUCGAAAGAGUAGCUAAUACCGCAUGAGAUCUAAGGAUGAAAGCAGGGGACCUUCGGGCCUUGCGCUACUAGAGCGGCUGAUGGCAGAUUAGGUAGUUGGUGGGAUAAAAGCUUACCAAGCCGACGAUCUGUAGCUGGUCUGAGAGGACGACCAGCCACACUGGGACUGAGACACGGCCCAGACUCCUACGGGAGGCAGCAGUGGGGAAUUUUGGACAAUGGGCGCAAGCCUGAUCCAGCAAUGCCGCGUGCAGGAUGAAGGCCUUCGGGUUGUAAACUGCUUUUGUACGGAACGAAAAGCCCUCUUCUAAUACAGGAGGGUCAUGACAGUACCGUAAGAAUAAGCACCGGCUAACUACGUG